rnacentral:lncRNA from 1 species
AGUUAGAUCUUAAAUUGUAUAUGUGAUAUGUUGAUUUAGAUCUAACUAGUUUUGUAGUUAAAUUUAUAUUUUUGAUUAAGGUAUUCCUCAUGGCCGUCCGGUCAUAAGAACAAAGUAGGAUUUUAAGACCCUCUCUUUCCAUUCAAUAGGAUGUUCAUAUGACUUGUAGGGGUGCCGCACGUUCAUCCUUAAUCAGAAAUCAAAACUUACUUUUCUGCAAAACCCUAGAUCCUGAAACCCUAGGAUUUAUUUUACAUGCUUUGUUUAUGAAUCCAAACUUAAUUAAUGAAUUAAGCUUAUGAAAUUAAGUUAGGUCUAAAAUUGAG